CAGUUCACAGAAUCCAGACGAAGGAAUUUUACUUGGAGAGGAGGGUAGCUCACAUCCACAAAAAAGCAGUUUGGAAACUCAAGGUGAUGGAAACUUACUUCUAGAUGAAGGCAGCUCACAGCAUCAGACUGAUAUGGAAGUG